rnacentral:lncRNA from 1 species
GCACGCGCCCCAGAGCUCCGCCUCCCUCCCCUGAUCGCAGGCCUGAGCGCCACUGUGCGCGUGCGCAGCGCCUCCAAAGUCGGAUUGCUAUGGUAUCUUCUGUCAUCCUGCUCUGGUGCCUUCUCUACCCAAUGAUGACCAUAUGGACCAGGUUCCCAAGUACGAGGAGUGCUAUUCAUCUGAAAACUACCCUUUGUUUGUGGAGGACUUAGAAUUUAGCUAGGAGUUAAGACUUUAAUAAUUAGAAAGUGAGAAGCCAUUGAAGGCAUUCGGACAGUGUCACGACAUGAACGGAACAUGCUUGGCAGUGUCAGUCUGACAGCUGUGUGUAAAUAACAGAACAGAAGAGGAAGCUGACACUCGAGGGAGCUGAAAGUGUCCAGUUGAAGAUAAACCCAUGGAGACAGUAUGCAAGUUAAUAAAGUACAGUGUCUGGCC